GAAUAUUCAGUAGGACUGUAACUGAAUUUGAGAAGUAAUUAAUGUAGCCAUAAAUAAAUUAAUUAAUAACUAAUAUAGCCAACUGUUGGGACUGUGCAUUUUCACAUUUGGAUAGCUGGUACCUUGCUAGGUAGAAAUGCAGAGUUGUUUUGUUGCUGUACGGGAGCUCAAAUGUGUGUAGAAAAGUAUGCAGAAACUGAGUAGCCAAAGCAGUUGACAAUGCCCGGUUAUCAAUUUAUUGCCUCUCAGCUCCAAAUUUACUCUUCAAUACCUGCUCUGUGAAAACGGACUGGAUUCUUCCAGCGUUUCCUCUUUACAUUUCUGUUUCCUGACUGAACCCAAACUAGUACAAACUGACUAUAGGAAUUGGGUGCUGAUACAAAAAGCUUCUCAUCCAUUUUUGGCCAAAGCCCACCGUCAUUAAUUUCUCCAGGAUACCCAACUCCUAAAAGUCUCAUAAGGUAGGACAGUUUGCCUUCUGCCUCCUUGACAGAUUAUAAGCUCCACAAUAAAGACUCUCAUCUUUUUCUCCAAGAUACGUGUUUCUGCCCAUCAGUCCUCCUAUAAGAACAUUGGGCAUGACGGAGAAGCUCAGCAACUUGAAAAUGAAUACCUGUUUAUAGUAAUGUUAUAUUUUUAUGGAAGUUAAAUUCAAAAGUCAGGAACAAAAUAAAAAAUUGGUUGUAUUCCAAAUCAUCCUAUAAAAUAUCGUAAGUGGUUCACAAAGCAUAAAACAUGGAUUGAUUAUCCAACACUGAAGAAUAAUGUGUGUGUAUAUAUAUGUGUUAACCGUACAUCAUUAACAUGCAUAUAUAAUAAAAGGCCCAUAUACUAAAUAUAAUUUCAUGAUUCAUAUUUAUACAAAAGAGUAACACAUAUAUAUUAAUUUAUGUGCAAAAGUAACACACACCUUAUAUUAAAUGUGCAUAUGAUUAUUGGCAAAUCGGAGACUCAGUCCUAAGUUAUCAGCCCUCAGGUUACUUACCAAUUAGAAAGGAAAAAAUAUCACUUUACAAUGGAAAUAUCUGGCCAUUACCACUUUAACUAAGUGAUCAAGUUUAGGAUCACCAAUAGUGAAAUGACCUGACCUCAUGCUUCUCCUCGUGUGAUACAAGAGGACACAACCUUGUCUAUGUAGUACCCUUGCUAACUUGUUUAACCUGGAUUUUACCAUGAGAAAAUAAACAGACAAAUCCAGACUAUAAGACAUUCUGUUGAACAACUAACUUAGAUUCUUAAAAAAAUCAAUGUCUAGAGAAAACAAAAAGGUGGAGGGACUGUUCCAGAUUAAGAGCCUAAAGAGACAUAACAUCAAAUGCAAUGCAUGAACUUUGUGUCCUGCUUAAAGAAAAACCUAUAUAAGACAUUUUCGGGACAUUUGGAGGAAAUUUGAAUAUGAGUGAGUUGUGGAAUUAUUAAUUUCCUUGGGUCUGAUCGUGAUGUGUGGUUAGAAGUAUGUGGGAUGUAUUACUGUGUUUACUGAUAUGAGUGAGACACUUUUGUGUGUGGUGAUGUAUGUGUAAGACUCUGUGUUUAGUGGUGUGUAGAAGAAAAUGUCCUUGUUUUUAGGAGAUACGUGAUGACAUAUUGACUAGUGAAGUAUCAUGAUACUUGAAUUUAUUUUCAAAUGGUAGAGAGAGAUUAUCAAAAGUGGCAAGUUGUUAGUUGGUGAAUCCAGGAGAUAGGCAUGCAUAAGGGUUCUUUGUACUAUUCUUUCAACGCUUUUAGAGAUUCAAAAAUUUUCGAAAUAAACAAUUGAAGAAAAUGUGCCUAUUAGGUGACUCCACUCUAUCAUAUGGGAGAAAUAAAUGUGGGAGAGCACUGAGCCGCUUGCUGAUGUACCCAAAGACCCCACCAGAACAGGAGAACUAGGGAACCAG
ensembl:lncRNA